rnacentral:rRNA from 1 species
CAGUAACACGUAGCUAACCUACCCUAAGACCGCUGAUAACCUCGGGAAACUGAGGCUAAGGGCGAUAGGAGAUUAUUUCUGGAAUGAGUAAUCUCUUAAACUUAGGAUGGGGCUGCGGCAGAUUAGGUUGUUGGCGGGGUAAUGGCCCACCAAGCCAAAGAUCUGUAAGGGCCUUUAGCGAGGGAGCCCUGAGAGGGAGUCUGAGACACCACUCCCAGCCCUACGGGGUGCAGCAGCUGGGGAUUUUUUGCAAUGCGCGCAAGCGUGACAAAGCGAGCCAGAGUGCUUUUCAUAUAAUUUGAACAGCUUUUGCCAGUUGUAAAAAGACUGGCGAAUAAGGACUGGGCAAGACCGGUGCCAGCCGCCGCGGUAAUCCCGGCAGUCCAAGUCGCAACCACUAUUACUGGGUCUAAGACAUCCGUAGCUCGCAAACGUAAGUCUCUUGUGAAAUCGGGCAUCUUAAGUGUCCGUCGGGCAAGAGAUACUGCUUUGCUAGAGACUGGGGGACGUGAGGAGUACGAUCGAGGUAGUGGUUAAAUACGUUAAUCUCGGUCGGACUAACAAUAGCGAAGGCACCUCACGAUUACAGUUCUGACAGUAAGGGAUGAAGGCUAGGGGCGCAAAAUGGAUUAGAUACCCAUGUAGUCCUAGCAGUAAACACUGCACACUAAACAUUGGCACCUCUUCGAGAGGUAUCAGUGCUGCAGCGAAGGCGAAAAGUGUGCUACCUGGGAAGUAUAGUCGCAAGGCC